GACAGAGGUGCCAAGCGUUAGGCGGAAUCACUGGGCUUAAAGCGUGUGUAGGCGGAAUUCUAAGUACCUUGUGAAAUCCCACGGCUCAACCGUGGAACUGCUGGGCAUACUGCGGGUCUUGGGCCAACUAGGGGCAGCCGGAACAAGCGGUGGAGCGGUGAAAUGCGUAGAUAUCGCUUGGAACGCCGAAGGUGAAAACAGGCUGCUGGGGUUGCGCCGACGCUGAGACACGAAAGCCAGGGGAGCAAACGGG
rnacentral:rRNA from 1 species